rnacentral:rRNA from 1 species
AUUGAACGCUGGCGGCAGGCCUAACACAUGCAAGUCGAGCGGAUGAAGGGAGCUUGCUCCUGGAUUCAGCGGCGGACGGGUGAGUAAUGCCUAGGAAUCUGCCUGGUAGUGGGGGAUAACGUCCGGAAACGGGCGCUAAUACCGCAUACGUCCUGAGGGAGAAAGUGGGGGAUCUUCAGACCUCACGCUAUCAGAUGAGCCUAGGUCGGAUUAGCUAGUUGGUGGGGUAAAGGCCUACCAAGGCGACGAUCCGUAACUGGUCUGAGAGGAUGAUCAGUCACACUGGAACUGAGACACGGUCCAGACUCCUACGGGAGGCAGCAGUGGGGAAUAUUGGACAAUGGGCGAAAGCCUGAUCCAGCCAUGCCGCGUGUGUGAAGAAGGUCUUCGGAUUGUAAAGCACUUUAAGUUGGGAGGAAGGGUAGUAAGUUAAUACCUUGCUGUUUUGACGUUACCAACAGAAUAAGCACCGGCUAACUUCGUG